rnacentral:lncRNA from 1 species
CUACAGUUCCAGAGUUGCCCAAAGCUCCUGAGUUGCCAGAGCCUGAAUUGCCAAAAGUUCCUGAGUUGCCAAAGCCUGAAUUGCCUAAGUUGCCUGACAUGCCAAAACCUGAAGAACCCAAGGUUCCUGAGUUACCAAAGCCUGAGUUGCCUAAGCUGCCUGACAUGCCAAAACCUGAAGAACCCAAGGUUCCUGAGUUACCAAAGCCUGAGUUGCCUACGCUGCCUGACCUGCCAAAACCCGAAGAACCCAAGGUUCCUGAGUUACCAAAGCCUGAGUUGCCUAAGCUGCCUGACCUGCCAAAACCCGAAGAACCCAAAGUACCGGAGUUGCCCAAGCCAGAACUACCCAAGUUGCCUGACUUGCCAAACCCUGAAGCGCCAAAGGAAGAAGUGCCCAAGUGGCCUUAAUUCCCUACCAUGCCAAGUCUUCCUAAAGACUUCCCCAUCCCUCCCUUAACUCCAC